AGGGGGAGUGCAGGAUCCUGGGCAGUGUCCCCCAGCACCCUGGGAUCUGGGGCCUGUGCCACUGGAAUCACGCUCGUGGGGCCCGGAGCCCCCU
rnacentral:pre_miRNA from 1 species